UACGUAGGGUGCAAGCGUUGUCCGGAAUUAUUGGGCGUAAAGAGCUCGUAGGCGGUUUGUCGCGUCGGCUGUGAAAACUCGGGGCUCAACCCCGAGCCUGCAGUCGAUACGGGCAGACUAGAGUGCUGUAGGGGAGACUGGAAUUCCUGGUGUAGCGGUGAAAUGCGCAGAUAUCAGGAGGAACACCAGCGGCGAAGGCAGCACUCUGGCCGAAGACCGACGCUGAGGCGCGAAAGCUGGGGGAGCGAACGGG
rnacentral:rRNA from 1 species